AUUGAACGCUGGCGGCAGGCUUAACACAUGCAAGUCGAGCGGAGAUGAGGUGCUUGCACCUUAUCUUAGCGGCGGACGGGUGAGUAAUGCUUAGGAAUCUGCCUAUUAGUGGGGGACAACAUUCCGAAAGGAAUGCUAAUACCGCAUACGUCCUACGGGAGAAAGCAGGGGAUCUUCGGACCUUGCGCUAAUAGAUGAGCCUAAGUCGGAUUAGCUAGUUGGUGGGGUAAAGGCCUACCAAGGCGACGAUCUGUAGCGGGUCUGAGAGGAUGAUCCGUCACACUGGGACUGAGACACGGCCCAGACUCCUACGGGAGGCAGCAGUGGGGAAUAUUGGACAAUGGGCGGAAGCCUGAUCCAGCCAUGCCGCGUGUGUGAAGAAGGCCUUUUGGUUGUAAAGCACUUUAAGCGAGGAGGAGGCUACCUGGAUUAAUACUCUAGGAUAGUGGACGUUACUCGCAGAAUAAGCACCGGCUAACUCUGUGCCAGCCGCCGCGGUAAGAC
rnacentral:rRNA from 1 species